rnacentral:rRNA from 1 species
UACAGAGGGUGCGAGCGUUAAUCGGAAUUACUGGGCGUAAAGCGCACGUAGGCGGCUUGGUAUGUCGGGUGUGAAAUCCCCGGGCUCAACCUGGGAACUGCAUCCGAAACUGCCUUGCUAGAGUAUGGGAGAGGGAAGUGGAAUUUCCGGUGUAGCGGUGAAAUGCGUAGAUAUCGGAAGGAACAUCAGUGGCGAAGGCGACUUCCUGGACCAAUACUGACACUGAGGAGCGAAAGCCAGGGGAGCAAACGGG